rnacentral:rRNA from 1 species
CACGUAGGGCGCAAGCGUUGUCCGGAAUUAUUGGGCGUAAAGAGCUCGUAGGCGGUCUGUUGCGUCGGCUGUGAAAACCCGGGGCUUAACUCCGGGCCUGCAGCCGAUACGGGCAGACUAGAGUUCGGCAGGGGAGACUGGAAUUCCUGGUGUAGCGGUGAAAUGCGCAGAUAUCAGGAGGAACACCGGUGGCGAAGGCGGGUCUCUGGGCCGAUACUGACGCUGAGGAGCGAAAGCGUGGGGAGCGAACAGG